UGGGGAAUUUUGGACAAUGGGGGAAACCCUGAUCCAGCCAUCCCGCGUGUGCGAUGAAGGCCUUCGGGUUGUAAAGCACUUUUGGCAGGAAAGAAACGUCAUGGGUUAAUACCCCGUGAAACUGACGGUACCUGCACAAUAAGCACCGGCUAACUACGUGCCAGCAGCCGCGGUAAUACGUAGGGUGCAAGCGUUAAUCGGAAUUACUGGGCGUAAAGCGUGCGCAGGCGGUUCGGAAAGAAAGAUGUGAAAUCCCAGAGCUCAACUUUGGAACUGCAUUUUUAACUACCGGGCUAGAGUGUGUCAGAGGGAGGUGGAAUUCCGCGUGUAGCAGUGAAAUGCGUAGAUAUGCGGAGGAACACCGAUGGCGAAGGCAGCCUCCUGGGAUAACACUGACGCUCAUGCACGAAAGCGUGGGGAGCAAACAGG
rnacentral:rRNA from 1 species